UACGGGGGGAGCAAGCGUUGUUCGGAUUUACUGGGCGUAAAGGGCGGGUAGGCGGCCACCGCAAGUCAGUUGUGAAAUCUCUGGGCUUAACCCAGAAAGGUCAACUGAUACUGCGGGGCUAGAGUGCAGAAGGGGCAACUGGAAUUCUCGGUGUAGCGGUGAAAUGCGUAGAUAUCGAGAGGAACACCUGCGGCGAAGGCGGGUGCUGGGCUGACACUGACGCUGAUGCGCGAAAGCCAGGGAGCGAACGGG
rnacentral:rRNA from 1 species